rnacentral:rRNA from 1 species
GGAUGCGAUCAUACCAGCACUAAAGCACCGGAUCCCAUCAAAACUCCGAAGUUAAGCGUGCUUGGGAGAGAGUAGUACUAGGAUGGGUGACCUCCUGGGAAGUCCUCGUGUUGCAUUCC